rnacentral:sRNA from 7 species
AUUCUACCCAUGCGGGGAAGGAUGAGAAGCUUCGACUAAGGUUCGAUUCGAGCGAAAGCGAGAAAGCGUUGCCGCAGGCAACGACCCGAAGGGCGAAGCGCGCAGCGCUGAGUCAUCCUUCCCCCACCACCA